rnacentral:rRNA from 1 species
GAGUUUGAUCCUGGCUCAGAGUGAACGCUGGCGGCGUGCCUAAUACAUGCAAGUCGAACGAUGAAGCUUCUAGCUUGCUAGAAGUGGAUUAGUGGCGCACGGGUGAGUAACUCAUAGGUUAUGUGCCUCUUAGUUUGGGAUAGCCAUUGGAAACGAUGAUUAAUACCAGAUACUCCCUACGGGGGAAAGAUUUAUCGCUAAGAGAUCAGCCUAUGUCCUAUCAGCUUGUUGGUAAGGUAAUGGCUUACCAAGGCUAUGACGGGUAUCCGGCCUGAGAGGGUGAACGGACACACUGGAACUGAGACACGGUCCAGACUCCUACGGGAGGCAGCAGUAGGGAAUAUUGCUCAAUGGGCGCAAGCCUGAAGCAGCAACGCCGCGUGGAGGAUGAAGGUU